rnacentral:rRNA from 1 species
UAAGAAGGGGGGUAGCGUUGUUCGGCAUUACUGGGCGUAAAGCGCACGCAGGCGGAUUUAUAAGUCAGGGGUGAAAUCCCGGGGCUCAACCUCGGAAUUGCCUUUGAUACUGUCUAUCUUGAGUCCGGGAGAGGUGAGUGGAAUUCCUAGUGUAGAGGUGAAAUUCGUAGAUAUUAGGAAGAACACCAGUGGCGAAGGCGGCUCACUGGCCCGGUACUGACGCUCAUGUGCGAAAGCGUGUGGAUCAAACAGG